rnacentral:rRNA from 1 species
AGGAAAUUUUAAGGGCGCACGGUGGAUGCCUUGACUGUAAGAGGCGAUGAAGGACGUAUUAGGCUGCGAUAAGCCUCGGGGAGCUGCCAAAGAGCUUUGAUCCGAGGAUUUCCGAAUGGGGCAACCCAGCAUAUAGAGAUAUAUGUUACCCUACGGGGAGCGAACCUGGUGAAGUGAAACAUCUCAGUAGCCAGAGGAAGAGAAAUCAAAUGAGAUUCCCAUAGUAGCGGCGAGCGAACUGGGAUUAGGACAAACCCAAUGCUUGCAUUGGGGGUUGUAGGACUAUAAUGUGUAAUUAAAGAGAAUAGAUGAAUUAGUUGGAAAACUAGAGCAUAGAAGGUGAUACUCCUGUAAUUAAAAUUCUCAAUAAUACUAAUAGUAUCCUGAGUAGGUCGGAACACGUGAUAUUUUGACUGAAGCUGGGGGGACCACCCUCCAAUCCUAAAUACUACUUACAGAUCGAUAGUGAACAAGUACCGUGAGGGAAAGGUGAAAAGUACUGCAGCGAGCAGAGUGAAAUAGAACCUGAAACCAUUAGCUUACAAUCAUUCAGAGCCCUAUGAUUUAUCAGGGUGAUGGACUGCCUUUUGCAUAAUGAGCCUGCGAGUUGUGGUGUCUGGCAAGGUUAAGCCAAGUGCGAAGCCGUAGCGAAAGCGAGUCUUAAUAGGGCGACUUAAGUCAGAUGCUGCAGACCCGAAACGAAGUGAUCUAUCCAUGAGCAGGUUGAAGCUGGUGUAAGAGCCAGUGGAGGACCGAACCCGCAGGCGUUGAAAAGUCUUGGGAUGACUUGUGGAUAGGGGUGAAAGGCCAAUCAAACUUCGUGAUAGCUGGUUCUCUCCGAAAUAUAUUUAGGUAUAGCCUUGUGUUGUAGCAUAUAGGGGUAGAGCACUGAAUGGGCUAGGGCUGCUUACCGCGGUACCAAACCCUAUCAAACUAUGAAUACUAUAUGUGGAAUCACAGGAGUCAGGCGGUGGGUGAUAAAAUCCGUCGUCAAGAGGGGAACAACCCAGACUAACAGCUAAGGUCCCUAAGUUACAUCUAAGUGGAAAACGAUGUGGAGUUACUGUGACAACCAGGAGGUUGGCUUAGAAGCAGCCAUCCUUUAAAGAAAGCGUAACAGCUCACUGGUCUAGUGAUUCUGCGCGGAAAAUAUAACGGGGCUAAGAUGUACACCGAAGCUUUAGAUUCAAUUUUUAAUUGAGUGGUAGGAGAGCGUUCUAUUCAGCGUUGAAGGUAUACCGGUAAGGAGUGCUGGAGCGGAUAGAAGUGAGCAUGCAGGCAUGAGUAGCGAUAAUUAAGGUGAGAAUCCUUAACGCCGAAAACCCAAGGUUUCCUACGCGAUGCUCGUCAUCGUAGGGUUAGUCGGGUCCUAAGUCGAGACUGAAAAGUGUAGACGAUGGCAAAUUGGUUAAUAUUCCAAUACCAACAUAUAAGCGCGAUGUGGGGACGCAUAGAGUUAAUCGAGCUCACUGAUGGAAUAGUGGGUCGAAGGACGUAGGUUGUUAAGUAGGCAAAUCCGCUUAACGUUAGACCGAGAUCUUACAGGCUCUUGACACUCUUCGGAGGAGAUGGAGAAUCGAUGAUACUGUCGUGCCAAGAAAAGCCACUAAGUUUAUUAUAUGUUGCCCGUACCGUAAACCGACACAGGUGGGUGGGAUGAGUAUUCUAAGGCGCGUGGAAGAACCCUCUUUAAGGAACUCUGCAAAAUAGCACCGUAUCUUCGGUAUAAGGUGUGCCUACUUUUGUAUAUGGACUUGCUCCAAAAAGCGAAAGAGGUUGCAACAAAGAGUCCCUCCCGACUGUUUACCAAAAACACAGCACUUUGCUAACACGUAAGUGGAUGUAUAAGGUGUGACGCCUGCCCGGUGCUCGAAGGUUAACUGAUGAUGUCAGCGCAAGCGAAGCAUUUGAUUGAAGCCCGAGUAAACGGCGGCCGUAACUAUAACGGUCCUAAGGUAGCGAAAUUCCUUGUCAGUUAAAUACUGACCUGCAUGAAUGGCGUA